rnacentral:rRNA from 1 species
UACGUAGGGGGCAAGCGUUGUCCGGAAUCAUUGGGCGUAAAGCGCGUGUAGGCGGCUUGAUAAGUCUGCUCUGAAAGCCCGGGGCUCAACCCUGGGAGGCGGGUGGAUACUGUCGAGCUCGAGUCCGGAAGAGGCGAGUGGAAUUCCUGGUGUAGCGGUGAAAUGCGCAGAUAUCAGGAGGAACACCAAUGGCGAAGGCAGCGCGCUGGGACGGUACUGACGCUGAGACGCGAAAGCGUGGGGAGCAAACAGG